AGGGACCCGCAGCUCAGCUACAGCACAGAUCAGCACCAUGAAGCUUCUCACGGGCCUGGUUUUCUGCUCCUUGGUCCUGAGUGUCAGCAGCCGAAGCUUCUUUUCGUUCCUUGGCGAGGCUUUUGAUGGGGCUCGGGACAUGUGGAGAGCCUACUCUGACAUGAGAGAAGCCAAUUACAUCGGCUCAGACAAAUACUUCCAUGCUCGGGGGAACUAUGAUGCUGCCAAAAGGGGACCUGGGGGUGCCUGGGCUGCAGAAGUGAUCAGCACAAUGAGGCUUUUCACAGGCAUUGUUUUCUGCUCCUUGGUCAUGGGAGUCACCAGUGAAAGCUGGCGUUCGUUUUUCAAGGAGGCUCUCCAAGGGGUUGGGGACAUGGGCAGAGCCUAUUGGGACAUAAUGAUAUCCAAUCACCAAAAUUCAAACAGAUAUCUCUAUGCUCGGGGAAACUAUGAUGCUGCCCAAAGAGGACCUGGGGGUGUCUGGGCUGCUAAACUCAUCAGCCGUUCCAGGGUCUAUCUUCAGGGAUUAAUAGACUGCUAUUUAUUUGGAAACAGCAGCACUGUAUUGGAGGACUCGAAGUCCAACGAGAAAGCUGAGGAAUGGGGCCGGAGUGGCAAAGACCCCGACCGCUUCAGACCUGACGGCCUGCCUAAGAAAUACUGAGCUUCCUGCUCCUCUGCUCUCAGGGAAACUGGGCUGUGAGCCACACACUUCUCCCCCCAGACAGGGACACAGGGUCACU
rnacentral:lncRNA from 1 species